rnacentral:rRNA from 1 species
GACGAACGCUGGCGGCGUGCUUAACACAUGCAAGUCGAACGGACAGGCCCUGCUUUUGUGGGGUGCUCGAGUGGCGAACGGGUGAGUAACACGUGAGUAACCUGCCCUUGACUUUGGGAUAACUUUAGGGAACUGGGGCUAAUACCGGGUAGGAGCUCCUGCUGCGUGGUGGGGGUUGGAAAGUUUCGGCGGUUGUGGAUGGACUAGCGGCUUAUCAGCUUGUUGGUCGGGUAGUGGAUUACCAAGGGUUUGACGGGUAGCCGGCGUUGGAGCGUGGCCGGCCACCAUGGGACUGAGAUACGGCCCAGACGCCUACGGUAGGCAGCAGGGGGAAAUAUUGCACAAUGGGCGGAAGCCAGAUGCAGCAACGCCGCGUGCGGGAUGACGGCCUUCGGGUUGUAAACCGCUUUCGCCUGUGACGAAGCGUGAGUGACGGUAAUGGGUAAAGAAGCACCGGCUAACUACGUG